rnacentral:rRNA from 1 species
UACGGAGGGUGCAAGCGUUAUCCGGAAUCACUGGGUUUAAAGGGUGCGUAGGCGGCUAAAUAAGUCAGAGGUGAAAGCUCAUCGCUCAACGAUGAAAUUGCCUUUGAUACUGUUUAGCUAGAAUUAAGAUGAGGUAAGCGGAAUGCGACAUGUAGCGGUGAAAUGCAUAGAUAUGUCGUAGAACACCGAUUGCGAAGGCA